GUGAUGAUGAGGAAGAUACUGCAGGUGGACGGAGGGCUUCAAGGGGAAUUGCAGGAAGGGAAAGUGUAUCAGGACGGAAGCCACUUCCAGUUCGUCCAGGCAUGUUUCUAGAAACCGUAUCUAAGGUCCUAGGUGGAAUAUAUGCUGGAACCGAAUCAGGUGUCACUGCACAACAUUUAGAAUGGGUACAUCAGAAGACACUUCACAUUCUUGAGGAAAUAGCAUUCUAGUCUUUGUGUGCUAUCAUCAAGG
rnacentral:misc_RNA from 1 species